UAAAUUUGCAGGAGCAAACAGAAACACAACACCGCCUAAGGCCGAGCGCUUCCCUCGCGAAAGAAGAGGUGGCGUGGUAUUCCACGAGAGAGGUUUUUAUAAAUCGUGGCGCACGUUAGUGCGAUGGGCGUACAUUAAUUCAAUUGGGGACUCCAUGGCCGCUGUGCUGCUUCAGUUUGCAGCCACAGCGAGGGGAUUGCCCUAUAUUUUCGCAAUUUUCCUUUUUAUUUAUUUAUUAUAAUUAUAAUUAUUAUUAAUUUUUUCUGUUCUUGUUUUACAAGAUUCGUCUUGCUGGAAAAACUAUUGGUUUAUUUAUUUCCUUUUUUUUGUAAUUGUAUAUAUUUUUUAGGUUUAUCUUUUCUUCUAUCCCCAAAUAAUCAUUCCGUAGCUUUUCACUUUGAUAUAGAAUUUUCAAUUACGAUGAAGGAUGAAUAUAAAUUUAUUAAUCAUAUCGCGAGAUGAUUCACUGCAUAUAAUGAUUUUGUACUUCAGGAUUAAGAAGAUAUCAGUUGUAGCGUAAAAUAGAGAUUUAGAAUUUCAAAAUGGCCGGAAACCUCCCCAUGGUCAGAUGCGAUAGAGAUGUAAGUUGCAUUUUUUAGUAGUAAUGAAAAUCUUUUUAUUUUCUUUACUUUUUUUAAGAGGCAAAAGGUGAGUUUAGAUCUCUGAGGAUUUAGAUAUAUGGGAAUGUAAAUGAGGAUGUUGAAAAUAUUAAUAUAUACUCAAUUUUAAAGGAGAUGCUCUUAUA
rnacentral:lncRNA from 1 species